UACGUAGGGGGCAAGCGUUGUCCGGAUUUAUUGGGCGUAAAGAGCGUGUAGGCGGCUUGGUAGGUCUCGCGUCAAAACCUGAGGCUCAACCUCAGUUCGCGUGGGAAACCACCUAGCUAGAGUCCGGAAGAGGAGAACGGAAUUCCCAGUGUAGCGGUGAAAUGCGCAGAUAUCAGGAGGAACACCAAUAGCGAAGGCAGCUCGCUGGGACGGUACUGACGCUAAGGCGCGAAAGCGUGGGGAGCGAACAGG
rnacentral:rRNA from 1 species